rnacentral:misc_RNA from 1 species
AACGCACAUUGCGCCCUUUGGUAUUCCGAAGGGCAUGCCUGUUCGAGCGUCAUUACAACUCUCAAGCUCCGCUUGGUUUUGGGAGGCGCCCCCGUCCGGGGGCCCGCCCGCAACUGGUUGGCAGGACCGUCCGGCUUCAAGCGUAGCAAGAAUCUUUCCCUCGCUUCGUAGUCCCGGCGGCCCUCGCCCGGAAACAGAAUCCACACGCAGUUUGACCUCGGAUCAGGUAGGGAUACCCGCUGAACUUAA